rnacentral:rRNA from 1 species
UACGUAGGUCCCGAGCGUUGUCCGGAUUUAUUGGGCGUAAAGCGAGCGCAGGUGGUUUAUUAAGUCUGGUGUAAAAGGCAGUGGCUCAACCAUUGUAUGCAUUGGAAACUGGUAGACUUGAGUGCAUGAGAGGAGAGUGGAAUUCCAUGUGUAGCGGUGAAAUGCGUAGAUAUAUGGAGGAACACCGGUGGCGAAAGCGGCUCUCUGGCCUGUAACUGACACUGAGGCUCGAAAGCGUGGGGAGCAAACAGG